GCCCCCACCCCAGGAGCCGUCCCCCCAGCAUUCUGCAGUCCUCUGACUAUCAGCCUGGUGUGGACACUGAGGCCCAGAGAGGUGAUGUGAUUUGCCUAAAGUCAUGCAACUAGUGGCAGAGCCCAGCCUAGAAGCCAGGUGUCCUGGAUCUCAAGAUACUCCACUGCCUGAGGAAUGGAACAGGUUCCACACACUGGUGGUGAUUCACUGCACUGUACAUACAACACUGAGACAUUUUAGCAACUUGUCCAUGACACUUGCGAGUCUGCUCCUGAACGCCCGCUGCGCAGAUAUUUUGAGUCUGUCUCAUACGGUGGAACGAAGCAAUAGAGGGAAACAUCACUUCUCCUCCGGUUUGGAGAUCCCGAUGAGUCUGCAUUUCUGGAGCGCCAUCUGGCAUGGCAGGAACAAAAUUCUCAUAGCUAGCCGAAAACUCUUCAAUGCCAAAUGUAAAAGAUCACAACAAUCCCUUCCACAAUUGAAACUAUCUGUUGGCCUUUUCAACAUUGUUCACGCUCCUCUGUGGGGGUGGCCAUAGAGGCUGGGCUGAUUUUCAUCCCCACAAACAAAAUCUAAGGGUUCCUCCCCUCAACCCUAGCAUUUAAGAUUUUAAAAAAUUGAAUAAAGCUAAAAUGACUCACCACACUCAUAUUUGAAGUGCUGAAGGGCAAUGUGUGGCCACUCUAUGCCCAGGGAGGCUCUGGUCCCCGGAGAUAACCACACGGGGACCGGUUCUCUGCUCAGUGUCUAAGUAGGUGCCCAGAGAGGUUGGUGGGAGGGAUAUCCUGCAAUGUCCUUGACAGCAGCCACUGACCAGAGCAACUCAUAUAGCCCUGACCUCACCUGACGAUGCCAAAGCAAUCAAACAAUAGUAACGUCCGCCAUGUAUCUAUUCUGAGGACCUUUAGGCCAGAUUUAAAAAUAGACACACAGCUAGAUCAAAGAUGUAUUAUUAUAUUACUAGGGGGAUGGAGGAAAAUCAAGUUGUACCAUGUGACAAUUUUUUUAAUACUGUACUUUUAAGAUGAAGGCUAGAUGGGAUCUGGAGAAAUGGCUUGGUGGUUUAGAGCACAGUUUGUUCUUCCAGAGUACCUGGCUUCCAUUCCCAGCACUCACAUGGUGGCUUACAGCCACAAUAACUCUGGUUUAAGGGGAACUGAUGCCCUCUUCUGGCCUUCUUGGGCACUGCAUACAGAAGGUACACAGACAUAUAUUGUAGGCAAAACACAUAUAAAAUAAAAAUAAGCCUUCUAAAAAGCAAAUGAUAAGUCAUUAAUAGGUAGCAGACACGUAGAUAAACAGGACACAGCCAGGAUACCUGGAUCUAUUGAUGUGAGGUCAGAAGUUCAAUCCUCCAACUUAAAAAGCCUGUGUGGCUAUGAAUGACGGUCAUCUUAGCAAGCAGGAUUUGCUGACCAGGCUGCCACACUGAAUUGAUGAAUUCUCCAUUCAGUGAAGGAUCCUGUCUAAAUAAAUUGAGUGAUGUGCAGUUGAGCCAGGAAGACAUCUGAUGUCAAUAUUCUCAUUCGUUAGUUAAUUAGUUAGCUAGUUUUUGUCUACUUGACACAGCUAGAGUUAUCUGAGAAGAGGGAGAAAAUGAGAAAAAGUUCCUAUCAGACUGGCCUGUAGGUGACUCAGUGGAGCAUCUCCUUGAUUACUGAUGUAAUCAAGAUGUGGGACGAUGUGGGGGAAAUGUGGGAAGGCCCCUGGGGUAGCCCUGAGUGAUGUAAGGGAGCAGGGUAAGCAAGCCAUGAGGACCAAGCCAGUGAGAAAGGGUUCUUUCAUAGUCUCUGCUUCGGGUCCUGCCCCUAGAGUUUGGUUCCCCUCAGAUAAUGUACUGCCACAGGGAUAUGUAAGCUGAAUAAACCUUUCCUUUUCAA
rnacentral:lncRNA from 1 species